AUUGAACGCUGGCGGCAGGCCUAACACAUGCAAGUCGAGCGAGCGGCGGACGGGUGAGUAAUGUCUGGGACACUGCCUGAUGGAGGGGGAUAACCACUGGAAACGGUAGCUAAUCCCGCAUACCAUCAGAUGUGCCCAGCUGGGUUUGGCUUGUAGGUGGGGUAAUGGCUCACCUAGGCGACGAUCCCUAGCUGGUCUGAGAGGAUGACCAGCCACACUGGAACUGAGACACGGUCCAGACUCCUACGGGAGGCAGCAGUGGGGAAUAUUGCACAAUGGGCGCAAGCCUGAUGCAGCCAUGCCGCGUGUGUGAAGAAGGCCUUCGGGUUGUAAAGCACUUUCAGCGAGGAGGCGUUACUCGCAGAAGAAGCACCGGCUAACUCCGUGCCAGCAGCCGCGGUAAUUC
rnacentral:rRNA from 1 species